AUUCUACUCCCUCCUUCUCAAAAUUCUUGUCUUGGAUUUGUCUAGAUACGGAUGUAUCUAAUACUAAAACGUGACUUGAUACAUUCGUAUUUAGACAAAUCUAAGACAAGAAUUUUGGGACGGAGGGAGUACAAG
rnacentral:pre_miRNA from 1 species